rnacentral:lncRNA from 1 species
UCACCCAGGCUGGAGUGCAGUGACGUCAUCUCGGCUCAGUCAGCUUCCACAUCCUGGGCUCAAGUGAUCCUCCCGCCUCGGCCUCCCAAAGCUCUGGGAUCACAGGCGGAGCCACCGCAUCGGUCCAACCGUUGCGGUUCGUGCCAGGUGGUCGGCUGGCCAUCACCGUGCCCUUGUCACCUGUGUCUCCAAGCCCUACACACCAUGAGGGUCACUUCACCCAGGCGUCAGUGUCACCAUGGACAGCUUUCAGAAAGGGGAAACAGCCUGGACGUGGUGGCUUAUACCCAUAACCUCAGCACUUUGUGAGGCCAAGAUGGGAGGAUCACUAGAG